AGCAAAUUAACCAUGAACCAAGGAUAUCUUUGAUUGCUUAUUUUCUUUGUUUCUUACAAACCCCCACACAAGAGGGGGUCAGACUGCAAUGCAGUCUGGGUUAUGUGAUUUCAACCCAGACAGGAGAACCAACUGGGUCUUGGCUGUCCAUCUUCUUGGCUUCUCUGUGAGUCUUCUAGAUCCUUUACAGCUAUGCAAAUAGGAGCUUUGGGCAACAGCACGUGGUUGGCAUCUGCUUUGGAAACAUUCCUGCAGCUGAAAGCAGACAGGACAUCUGUUGUGAAAGGGUGGCACAGGAUGCAUGAACCUCUUCUGUCCAUCUUCAAGGCCACAGACCAGCCCCUGCCUCCCAGAAAAAUCUACUUGUGA
rnacentral:lncRNA from 12 species